CCUACGGGGUGCAGCAGUGAGGAAUAUUGGUCAAUGGGCGAGAGCCUGAACCAGCCAAGUAGCGUGAAGGAUGACUGCCCUACGGGUUGUAAACUUCUUUUGUCAGGGAGCAAUUGGGUCCACGCGUGGGCUUAGCGAGAGUACCUGAAGAAAAAGCAUCGGCUAACUCCGUGCCAGCAGCCGCGGUAAUACGGAGGAUGCGAGCGUUAUCCGGAUUUAUUGGGUUUAAAGGGUGCGUAGGCGGAAUAUCAAGUCAGCGGUAAAAAUUCGGGGCUCAACCUCGUAGUGCCGUUGAAACUGAUGGUCUUGAGUGGGCGAGAAGUAUGCGGAAUGCGUGGUGUAGCGGUGAAAUGCAUAGAUAUCACGCAGAACUCCGAUUGCGAAGGCAGCAUACCAGCGCCCAACUGACGCUGAAGCACGAAAGCGUGGGUAUCGAACAGGAUUAGAUACCCUAGUAGUC
rnacentral:rRNA from 1 species